CUGACCACAGGCCAAGACAGCCUGUAUUCUGGACACUUCCAGACCUUGAACUCCAAAGAUGGACACAGGUGAAGUAACUUGAACAGAGGAGUAGGUGAGACCUCCUGGCAGAAGAUGGGAGCUCUCAAGAAAUGUGAUGGUUUCCACCCUGGUCUUACUCUUCUAUUCUGUGUCCAUCUGAAGGAGAGCUAAUCCCAUCCAUAAGCUCCACAGAGGAGAAAAAAAAUACAAACCAACCAAUCUAAAUCUACCUGAGGCCUGAGGAUGUGGAGCAAGGGAAAUACUCCUCCACUGUUGGUGGGAAUAUAAACUUGCACAACC